CUACGGGGUGCUCCAGUGAGGAAUAUUGCACAAUGGGGGGAACCCUGAUGCAGCAACGCCGCGUGGAGGAUGACGCAUUUCGGUGUGUAAACUCCUUUUAUAUGUCAAGAAAAUGACGGUAGCAUAUGAAUAAGCACCGGCUAACUCCGUGCCAGCAGCCGCGGUAAUACGGAGGGUGCAAGCGUUACUCGGAAUCACUGGGCGUAAAGGACGCGUAGGCGGGUUGGAAAGUCAGGUGUGAAAUCCUACAGCUUAACUGUAGAACUGCACUUGAAACUACGAGCCUAGAGUAUGGGAGGGGGAGAUGGAAUUAGUGGUGUAGGGGUAAAAUCCGUAGAUAUCACUAGGAAUACCUAAAGCGAAGGCGAUCUCCUGGAACAUAACUGACGCUAAGGCGUGAAAGCGUGGGGAGCAAACAGGAUUAGAUACCCUUGUAGUC
rnacentral:rRNA from 1 species